UACGUAGGGUGCGAGCGUUAAUCGGAAUUACUGGGCGUAAAGCGUGCGCAGGCGGUGAUGUAAGACAGAUGUGAAAUCCCCGGGCUCAACCUGGGAACUGCAUUUGUGACUGCAUCGCUGGAGUACGGCAGAGGGGGAUGGAAUUCCGCGUGUAGCAGUGAAAUGCGUAGAUAUGCGGAGGAACACCGAUGGCGAAGGCAAUCCCCUGGGCCUGUACUGAUGCUCAUGCACGAAAGCGUGGGGAGCAAACAGG
rnacentral:rRNA from 1 species